rnacentral:rRNA from 1 species
GACGAACGCUGGCGGCGUGCUUAACACAUGCAAGUCGAACGGAAAGGCCCUGCUUUUGUUGGGUGCUCGAGUGGCGAACGGGUGAGUAACACGUGAGUAACCUGCCCUUGACUUUGGGAGAACUUCAGGAAACUGGGGCUAAUACCGGAUAGGAGCUCCUGCUGCAUGGUGGGGGUUGGAAAGUUUCGGCGGUUGGGGCUGGACUCGCGGCUUAUCAGCUUGUUGGUGGGGUAGUGGCUUACCAAGGCUUUGACGGGUAGCCGGCCUGAGAGGGUGACCGGCCACAUUGGGACUGAGAUACGGACCAGACUCCUACGGGAGGCAGCAGUGGGGAAUAUUGCACAAUGGGCGGAAGCCUGAUGCAGCAACGCCGCGUGCGGGAUGCCGGCCUUCGGGUUGUAAACCGCUUUCGCCUGUGACGAAGCGUGAGUGACGGUAAUGGGUAAAGAAGCACCGGCUAACUACGUG